rnacentral:rRNA from 1 species
CCUACGUGUGGCAGCAGUGGGGAAUAUUGGACAAUGGGCGAAAGCCUGAUCCAGCCAUGCCGCGUGUGUGAAGAAGGCCUUCGGGUUGUAAAGCACUUUCAGUGGGGAAGAAAGCCUUGGGGCUAAUACCCUCGAGGAAGGACAUCACCCACAGAAGAAGCACCGGCUAACUCCGUGCCAGCAGCCGCGGUAAUACGGAGGGUGCGAGCGUUAAUCGGAAUUACUGGGCGUAAAGCGCGCGUAGGCGGUCUGAUAAGCCGGUUGUGAAAGCCCCGGGCUCAACCUGGGAACGGCAUCCGGAACUGUCAGUCUAGAGUGCAGGAGAGGAAGGUAGAAUUCCCGGUGUAGCGGUGAAAUGCGUAGAGAUCGGGAGGAAUACCAGUGGCGAAGGCGGCCUUCUGGACUGACACUGACGCUGAGGUGCGAAAGCGUGGGUAGCAAACAGGAUUAGAUACCGAGUAGUC